rnacentral:lncRNA from 1 species
UACAAAGUCUCUAAUGAAUACUAACUGUCUAUGCCAGGACAAAUCUCCCGGUUGGACCAUAUACUGAAGGACUCGACAUAUAAGUUGUUAUGAGUCGGCAGAAAUAAAGCAGGCCACAAGCAAAAUAAUAAAUAAAAAUACACAGAUUUACGUGGAAACCAUUGCGGGACACGGGCAGAGGCAGAGGAUGUUUCACUAUAAUGCAAGGAGAGGAGUACAAUGUGGAAAAUGGGUAUUUUCUGGAUACAUAAAAUAACCCACUAAAUGUACUUAUAUAAUACGUGCAUACAAAUAAGUCCUAGGCCCAAAAAAUGCACCAAUAGAAGAGAGUUAUACAAAGCCGCAGUUGAACCUAGAUCUUCCAUAUAAAUGAGUCACAGAACAAGAAAACUAAAGACAAUGAUAGCAGCAAUCUGGAAUUCAAAGCCUCUAGUCUAUAAAGAUAUCCUAAGUCUAGUUUUAACAUGGCUAGUUAUUCAAUUAGAUUAUAAUCACAAAAGAACUUGGAUUUUUCGCAUAUCUAACAAUUGAACAGCACUCAACGAAUCCAACGUGGCACACAUCAGUGCAUAAAAAGCAAACUGAGAUAUAGUUUCAUGGACAGGUCUAGAAAAAGUCUAAUACUUUAAGGCUUCAACAUAUAAUAUCGAAGGCAUGGAAUAUCAAGAACCAAAUUCACUUGUCAAAUCAAAUAGCUAGAUAAUGAAAGACGGAUAACAACUAAGUUAGGAAACAACUUCCAACGGAUGAAAUUCAAAUUGUUUGAUGACCUCAAUCCAGCAUGGACUAAACAUAAAGAUGAACCCGAAACAUCAACAGAUUCAACAUAAAAAAACCUAUGGCUUGCCAACGCCAAUCUACAACGAACAUCUCAGCCUCAAGACAUUAACCAAAGUUGCUACUGCUAUAACCAUUACGACACGACAGUAAGGGGAAGAAUCGAGUACUAACUAGUUUUUGGGCAGCAAAACGGGAUAACGAGUUUAUGUCGAGAUGCACCUCCAUCGAAAAUUAGCAUUACCAACUCAGGAACCUCCUCCGAUUGACCGACCAACUUUCAGAAAGAAAAAGGAAAAAGAAAGUUUUCAAUAAGGGAACUAUUUUGAUCUCAAAAUUUUCUUUCCCCUCUUUUAGAAUCCUAAAAUUUCAAACUCCAGAAUUUUCAACCCUAAUUUUCAAAUACCGAAUUUCCCCUAAGUUUUUCCACCCAAGAAUUUCGAACCCAGAGGGGAAAAAAAAGAAAAUCCCCUUUUCCUUCUCUAAAGAGAGCUACUUAUAGAAGAGGAUUGAGGGUUUAUUUUUGAAAUUUAAAAAAUCAGGACCAUAACAAACUGUACCUCUAUUUUCAUUUUCUUGAACGAAAUUCCAAACAGUGGACAAUAGAAAUUGGUAGAAAGGGAAUAAUCUUUAUAAGCCAAUGAAAAUUUUCCAUCUAUGUACCAAUUCGUACUAUGGUACACGAGAUUCAUGGGAUUUGAACGUUAGGGUGAGCCAGCUCACCCAUUGCUAAAAGUUUUUCUUGAAUUUUCGUAACCAACACACGCUAUCUAGGCGGGUCAAAGUUGGUUCGACUUUGGGAAGCUGGUUUUCGCCAAUUUUUGGGUUGAGGAUGACGGGUCGGGUCGAUAUGGAUGGAUUUUGGUUGGAACAUGGUCAUUGAAUUUGGUGGUUUUGAGUUGUUAGGAUGGUUGAGAAUUUUUCUUGUUUAUGUGCAGCUUUGCUGCUUUGGAGGAGACAGGGGGGAGAAAUAAGAGAGUUGGGCCGGUCAGCCGUUCUUUGGGCCUGGGGGUUGGUGUUGUUUUGGUUUGGGCUGGCUGGUGACGGGUUGGGUCAGAUUUGGGGAUUAUUUAAUAACCCCAAUUAAAUCUAAUUGGGUUAUUAGAUAACCCUAAUUAAAUUUAAUUGGGUUAUUAAAUAACCCUAAUUAAAUUUAAUUAGAUUAGAAUAAUCAUAAUUAAAUUUAAUCGGAUUAAAAUAAUCUCAAUUAAGAAAUGAUAACUUUUGGGAUUAAGAUUGAAUUACAAUUUAAACGACUUAUUUAAAUUACAACCAAAUCGAAUGUCUAUUGGUCGAUUGCAUCACAAUUGGGCCAGUUUGAUUUCAAUUUAGGUCAUAUUUUAUUCGUUCGCUAAAUUGAAUCGCAAUCUGACACGAAUCAAGUAACAAAUUAACCUUGAGUUUCUUAAUUUGAUAAAAAUCCAACAAAUAUUCCUCCCAAUAAAAUAUUUUGAGAGCAAAUCAUAUUUAAAACCAAGAUUUUAUCCAUUUGAAUUAAUUUUCAAGUUCAAUCAAUAAAAAUCUAAUUUUGAUAAAAUGUUCAUUUAAAUAACAAAAUUUAUACACUCUCGUAUAUAUAUGAAAAUGCAAAAAAUGUAUAACCGCUAAUUAAAUGAUAAAAUCGAAUUGAAUAAGUAAUUUAAACCAGCGUUUAUUUGAACAAAAUAAUUGUUGUGAUUUUAUUUUAAAAUUGAAGAAACUAGAAAUUAAUUGGAUUUCGGAGGGCAAAAAUUAGGUGUCAACAACUGCCCCCUCCCUUUGGGUAGGGUGGAUGCAAGUAACCCUGGGCAAAGGAAGGUUGACGUUCCUAAUUUGGUUCGACCACCAAUUCGAAUCUGAAAGAGGUUAAUCUUCGCACAGGUUUCAUGGAAUUAUGGCCGAACCUCGAUAUCAGGUUUCCUACAUAUCUUAGGUUUCAUGAGAAUUCAUUCCACUUGUAGUUCAUAAAGCUUGAUUUUAAGCACGAUUUUCAAGAAAAUUCACCAACUAUCAUAGUUUUAGAGUUUUUGAUGAAACCGAGAAGUUGGGGAAUGAAGGGAUUUGGGAGGAAGUUGGAAUGCAGUCAAAUUUUCUACAUACAUUCCAGCCUACAUAUCCCCAAGAUUUCAAGAAAUCAGACUGCUUGUAGUUUGGCUCAAUUGGUAGGAAAAAUAGUCUUUUAUUUCAGACCAUCUUUGGCUCGGAAUGAGUGACAAGUUGAUCAAGUUGCGGAAAAGAGGCUUGUAACCUUUUAACCAUGAAUGUGGGAUCCUUCACAUCCAUAGGCAAGAACUUACCUGGACAUAAUUUUCAAAACUCUAAGUGUGUUGCCACCCGAAUUUGAAAGAAAGAGAAGGUUACCCUCAGCAUGAGUUUAGAAAUGUCCCAAAGGUGAAGCUGAAACCAGAAUAUCCUGAAACACCCACAUGCCUUAUAAUAGGGGUAUGGUUGGAUGGUGGUGGUGAUCAUCCUUUAUCUCCUAUCCAAAGAGUUUGACGUCCCUCUUUAGACUAUGUCCCGUUUUGCUGCUAAGAAAGAGUUCCACGUUGUGUUGUGUCCUAUUUGAAGUCAUCUGCACCUGUGGUUUUGAUUUGAGAUUUUUAUCCUAUCGGAUGCUCUCGACAAUGCUUCAAGUAAAAAGUGUUAGUGCUAAACAUAAUUCACGAAAGAGGUAUGUAGUCUUUUACAAUAUCUCCACGUGAGUUGUGGCCUGAAAAACAGAGUCAUAUCUUCAUGUAUCUGUUUGGAGUGAAAUAAAUGGCAACAACAAAAACAACAACCCUCUUGGUUGUUGUAUAAUUAUGACAUUUGUUGGUUAAAUAUGUCUUCAAAGUGGGGUGACCCUUUUGGACACCGACGAUACUUUAUGCAAAACGGUCCCUACAAUCGUGUAAUCUUGUGAUGGUGUGGCAACCCUUUUGGUUACCUAUAUCACUUGUUGUAUGUUUAAUGAUUAUCUCUCCGGUUAUAGCCGAUGAUCGAUUUAUAAAUUUUCUUUAAAUUGUUAAUCUUUAGAUAAUCUUGCGUAUUAUUUGAUGUUAGAUACAAGGCGACUUACAAAUAUCCUUUGAAUUGCUAGCUUUUAGGUAAUCCUGCACAUUAUCUGACUUUGGAUAAGAGAUGGUUUACAGAUAUCCCUCCAAUCGCUAGCUUUCAGGUGUUCCUGCACAUCAUCCGACCUUGGAUACAAUAUGACUUAUAGAUAAUCUCUCAAGUUGUUAGUCUUUGGGUAAUCCUACACAUAAUCGAUCUUAGAUAUGUCACGGCUUAUAGAACCCUUGGACGUAUCAAUUUUAUAAUCUUGCAUAUUCUUCGGUAAGGAUUUAGUUGCGACUUAUGGAUAACCUUUGAACUAUCGAUUUUUGGGCGAUCUUGCACACUAUCAGGUUAGGAUGUUGUUGUGUCUUACGGAUGAGCUACAAGCUAUCAACUCAUAGGUGAUCCUGCACACUAUCCUAUCAACUCAUUCUUAGAUAGCGACUUAAAGGCGUCCCUUUAAAUCGUGUGCUCUCGAUGCAUUCAAAUACUGGUUCAUAAAAUAAUGAGAUAUCCUUAACGCCAGCGAUGUCUUGUGUGUCAACAGAUAUAUAAUGAUGAUGAUAUCCUUGAUGACAACUUUGUGUCUUGCGUGUCAACAGAUAUAUUGAAUGCUGAUGAUAUCCUCAACACCAGCGUUGUGUCUAGCGUGUCAACAAAUAUUGAAUAAUGAUAUCCUCGAUGCCAGCGUUGUGUCUUGCGUGUUAACAAAUAUUGAAUGAUAAUAUCCUCGAUGCUAGCAUUGUGUCUUACAUGUCAACAGAUAGAUAUAUUGAAUGCUGAUGAUACCCUCGAUGCCAGCGUUGUGUCUAGCGCAUCAACAAAUAUUAAAUGAUGAUGAUAUCCUCGAGCUAGCAUUGUGUCUUGCAUGUCAACAGAUAUAUUAAAUGCUGAUGAUAUCCUCGAUGCCAAUGUUGUAUCUAGCACAUCAAAAGAUAUUGAAUUAUGAUGAUAUUGUCGAUGCCAGCAUUGUGUCUUGCGUGUCAACAUAUAUAUUAAAUGCUGAUGAUAUCCUCGACGCCAACGUUGUGUCUAGCGCGUCAACAGAUAUAUUAAAUUUUGAUGAUAUCCUCGACAACAGUGUUGUGUCUAGCACGUCAACAGAUAUUGAAUAGCCUUCUUGGGCGAUGGUAUAAUAUGGCCCUCUUAGCGAUAAUAUGCAAUAGCCUUUUCGGCAAUGAUAUGCAAUGACCCUCUCGGCAAUGAUAUGUAAUGGCCCUUUCGGCAAAUGACAUGCAAUGGUUCUUCCGGUAAAUUAAAAAUAGUUUCACCUGAAAUCAUUUGUCAGGGUCUUGCUUUCUGCAUGUACCUGUACUCAAGGUAGAUGAUUAGUGGACACAAAGUCGCUUUUGCUAGCGACUAUUUUUUUUUAGAAAAAUUCUAAAUACGAUAUUUGUAAAAAAGACAAGACACUUUUGUUUGUCCUCUAUAAUCUCAAUAAAUAAGAUGGACAAUUCUAAAGGUCGUCAAUAAAUGGGUGUUGAGCCGAUUUUUGGGCUACCAAAAGUACCAUUAUUAAUCCUUAUAUGCUCUGUCAUGGCUAUCGACUUGCUUGGAGAUUUUUCAAAAGAAACGCUCAUUUUUGUGUAUCGAUCCCUGCAUCCACAUAAAAUGAUUAGUUUGAAAGAAACUACUCCGUGUUGACCUCCUACGAUCCUUGAUUUGCCCUCGCCAUCUUUCAGGUACUUCAUCAUGUUGGGACUUCCACCCCUGACUCCCCGUCCUAAUUGAUGUCUAGGCAAUCACUAAGUAAAAGAUUUAUAUAGAUUUUUUGAAAGUACUCUUAAUUUUUUAGAAAAUAGUUUCGAGAGCUCCUGCAAAACUUUGAAAAAUCUCUGCCAGUCAUGUCAUUUGCUAGCUCAAGGACCGUCUUUCUUUUGAUUCUGACAAUGUUUGACGUUUGACGGAGGAUUUUUAGGGAUUCAGGAUUGUCAAGGCUCUCUACCAGAAGUUUUAUCAAAGACGGAGAUUCAAUCUUCUUAGACUUUAUCGCAGGUGACAAUCCUCAAAUCUCAACUUCGACCUCUAGUGUUGGGGAAUUUGAAAUAUAUUUCAAUAUUUGGUAGAGAUUUUGAGGCCUUCCUCAAAAUUUCUUCCCCAUUUUAGAGUUGUUUGAAAUGAUAUCAACACGAGUGAAUCUGAAGUCUUUGUUGGUCUUCAUUCUCUUUAUUUCUCUUGCGAAUUUUUGAGAUUCCUUCUCAAAAAUUCUGCCCCAGUUUCCAUUUCCUGGGGUUAUAUGACCGAGCCGUUGGGGCGCCUACGUAUCCCGUUAAAGCAGAAAUCAGGUCAAACGUAGUUCUGGCUACGCUAGAGAUAUAUAUAAAAAAUCUAAUGGGUUGACCAAAACCGACAUAGGCCACCUACAUAUCUCAUUCUUGAGAAUUCAGGUCAUCACGUAGUUCAUACAUAGAGGGAAAGGAUAAAUUUUUCUAAGGGGCUGACCGAAGCCGACAUAGGCUACCUACGUAUCCCUUUCUUGGGAAUUCAGGUCAAAUGUAGUUCGUACAUAAAGGGAAGGGGUUCUAGGCAAUUACACAUCAUGAAAUUGAUACUAUUAUAAAGGAGAUUACAAAUAAACCAAGAAACAAAAAUUAUAACAUCUUUCAAGCACGAUAUAUCUUUACCGCAUCAGAAUUGAUUGGUUUGGUCCACUCUUGACCAUCCAUUUCAGGUAGGAUUAGGGCUCCUCCAAGUUGGGAUUCUUUUGAUUUUCACAUUCCUCUAUAUCUACUACUAACUGCUCCUUAUCACCUUUUCUGUUCAUCAUUAUUUCUUUUGCUUUGUUCGUCGAACCCUUGACAUGACAUGAUAUUGGCAGGUUUUUAAAUUAUUGCUACCAAAAUAAAUCAUGCUAGAUAAUCAUAUUUAAAAAAAAAAAAUAACUUCUUAAAUAGAGGGAGGCCUUUUGGAAAAUAAAAUAAACUAUGGCUCAUGACCCACACAAAUGUGGGCCCAUGCCUUUUUGAAAGUUGUAAAAGACGAAAAAAAAAUUUGAGACAUAAAAGGGUGGAUCACGAGGCCUCCUUCGGAUCAUCGCCGAUUUUAAAAACUAUUAGUAAUUUCCCCUUUCAUAUACCACGAUGGUUGACAGGUUAUGAGUGGAGUGGAGGUCCAGUUUUGCAAGGCCUCCUCUGAUGCAAUCUUCUUCACCCCACAGGACUUUGGGAAAUCAUCUGGUAGAGCAUUGCAUCCUUUAAACAGAUCUCCUAUCCCAUCCCCAAGACCAUCAUCAUUUGACAUAUCAUGUACGGGAAAUGACUGGUACAAGAGCAACAAGGGUCUAAACAGACCCUCCUUUGAAUUAUCUUCAAUCUCAUCUUCCUUUCUUGGUUGGUAUCCUACUCCACGCUUAAAUUCUCUUUCCAGGACCAUAAUAGGCUCAAUAAUUCCUUCUGAAUUCUUACUCAAGGAAGCCACAACUUUCUCUAUCUUUUCCACUCCUUUUGUCUUUUUGGAGUUUCGUGAAUCCACAUUAGCAAUUGUCUCGCUAGAUACCCAUUCGUCUGCUAUUUCGAUCAUGCUAACCAUGGCUCCCUUGUGAUUAGGUAAUGGGUUAAUAGAAACAUUUAGUGCCGGCGCCUGAAGAGUGAUGAUCUUCUGGUCAAUCAAGUCCUGGAUCUUAUAUUUUAGAUUGAUGCAAUCUUCAGUAUUAUGCUCGGGAGCUCCUGAAUGAUAAGUACAGACUUGAUCGGCAUGAAAGAAUCGAGAAUUGAGAUUGGUAGUCUUUGGUGGAAUAGGCUGUAAAUAAUCGGCCUUCAUCAAUCUUUUGAAGAGAUAGGUACAACUUUCAGCCGAUAAAGUGAAUUUUCUGGGAGGCUUCUUCUCGAAGCUUACACGUGGGUGGUUAUACUAAUUUUGAUUUGCAGGAGGAGGUACUAUCAGCUUCUCGAGGCUUACACGUGGGUGGUUAUACUGAUUUUGAUUUGCAGGAGGAGGUACUUGAUGAUAGUUUGGAGGCACUUGGACAUUUAUUUGAUUGUUUAAAAGAAUAGCUUGAACAUGAGAUUGAUAAUUUGGCUGCGGAAUUUGGCACUAGGGUAAAAUAUUUAAGAUUGGAGCUUGAUAUUGGGGAUGGGCAUAGAAUACAAGCUGAAAAUUUGGUGACAGUGGUGAGGAAAGAAUAUUCCUAGGCUUGAAUUUCCUCUUCAAUUUAUCAACAAAAUCAGUAGAGACCACAUUCAUAUCCUCUCUUUUCUUCUUUAAGAAUGCAGAAGAUUCAGAUGAUGUUGGGGUUUUGGCAAUUUUUCCUGUUUGGGUGCCUUCCUCUAAAGAUUCCCCAUUCUUUACUAAAUCUGCAAAAGUUACUCGGACCACGGAUACCAACCUGGUAUAAUAUUCUCCCUCCUGAGCGCGAGAGAACACAGACACCAUUUCUUCCUCAGACAUGGGAGGUUGUGCUUUGGCAGCUUCUUUUCUCUAACGGAAGGCAUAGUCUCAGAAACACUCAUCAUUCCUCUACUUGAUCCGAUCUAAUAAAUAUCAGUAAGGGACUAUUUCAAUGUUAAAUGCAAACCUAUUAAGGAAACUUUUGGCCAAUGCCCUCCAACUAGUCCAUUUUUCAGUUCUUGAGACAUGAACCAAUCUAAGGCUUCGCCACUUAAGCUUCGGCUGAAUAAGCGCAUCAAUAAUGCCUCAUUUUUUCCUACUCCCACCAUUUGAUCACAAUACCUUCUCAGAUGAGCCAUUGGAUUUCCGAUGCCAUCGAACACUUCAAAUUUAGGGACCUUAUACCCUUCUGGUAGAUCUACUCCAGGGUGAACACAUAAAUCAUCGUAACCUAACCCGUCUUGUUCUCCGCUCUAUGAUAUUCCUUGAUCCUCAUGAUCUCUUCAUUCAUAGCUAGCAACUUUAUUUCAUGCUCGGUCCUCCACUCUUUCUCUUUCUCCUCGUAAUGGUCCACCUCGGGAUUAGGAAGGAAAUUAUAGAUGUUAGGGGAUAUGAUGACAUGAGAAGGAUUUGGAAAGACAGCUUGAUUUUGUAGAUGAAAGGAAGUUGGUAAGUGGGUGGGGAGAACGUUUCGGAAAUUGGAAAAGUUUUAUGGAAUUUGAGAGUACCUUGGUAGGAUCUAGGAGGGAUUCUGCGGAUUCAAAAAUAAAGUUUGUGGGUUUGGAGAUAGAUUUGGCAGAUUUGGUAAAUCUGGGGAUGGAUUUUGUGGAUUUACCAAUGGGUUCUGGGGAUUUGAGAAUGAAUUUUGUAGAUUCAGAGAAGGAUUUUGUGGGGUGAGGGAUGAAUUUUGUGGAUUGUAAGCAUCUGGGUUAUUUUCAUGAUUGGUACUUUGGAUAAGUGGAGGGGCAGCGGCGGACGAUAUGUUAUUUGGAUGAUCCCCAAGAAUAGACGUACUGAGGGGAGGGAUUUGGAGUGGAGUCUCGUGUCCUCUUGGAGCGGGAGCAUUGAGAGUGAUGGCCAGGUUAGACAAAUCUCGAGUACGAUUUAUUUUCUCCUAAAGCAUUUCUAGCUUUCUUGUGAGUUCCGCAAUCAUCUCACUCUGUUCCGCUAUUACAUUGUCCCUGAUGGUCAAUGUAUUUUCUUCUUCAUUUCCAGUCAUUAUUGAAUGAUGGUUAGAGGAUAGAAUUUUGUGCGCUUUUGAGGUGAAGUAAGGAUGUUCUGCCAGCUUAUUUCAACACGGAGUAGUUUUCUAUUAUCAGUAAAGUAAAAUAACUCAAAGGCAAAUGUGUUAGUUUCCACGUGUGAUAAGCAAUGCAAAAUACUUGACAAGAAAUAGCCACGUAGAGUUGUUUGUGUCAUAGCCAAAUUCAUCUAUAGGAGCAUAGCGGAUAAACUUGUCUUUGAUCCAAACAAAUGCACAUAAACACAUAAGAACAUAAUAAUGUGUAUCCUAACUGGGGUGACCCUUUUGAGCCAAGGGUUUGGGCCUAACAAUUUUUGAAGAAAAAUAUAUGCUUGCUUAAGGUUAAUCCAUUAUUUCCCAACUUUAUAGACACUAAAAGGGCAUAAAUGCCUACAAAAGAUAACAAAAGAGGGAUACAAUCUUUAGGGAAAGGAAAAUAACAUGAAAGAAGACACAUUCCCACACAGGGGAUAGAAAAUACUAACUCCUGGGUGCUUCUUCUGUCAGCCUUCGUCUUCUUAGCUUCGUAUAUUUCUUAUAUUGGUGACAUCCGUUGACGUUCAAACUGUGCCUUAGAUGCAACCUCCCAAAUCGAUUAAUUUCUUGCUUAAAUUGCUUCAAUUCUUAUUACGAAAGUAAGCAAAUCAAGCUUUUUCCCCACCCUAAAGGAUAAUGGAUUGAAUUAGAAAGGCAUACAUUUUCUUCAACACAUAAAUAUGAUUCAUCUAUAAUUGACUCAGGGUCAAUAAACGCAGGGCAGGUUUUCUAUUAGGCCCAAUACCUCGCUCUGGUAUUGGGCCGUCCUAGGCUCAUACUUAAAUAGGGUUUUGGUUUUGUUGUUUCCUAGGUGUCUAGAGUGGGUUUGAACACUGGUUCUCAAGCGGACAACUUUAGUUUGAAAAUACGAACAUCCAUCAAAUGACUCAUGUGCUAAUAAGUCAUUCGUAUUUCCAACACUUUAUUGGAAUUGAACAAUAGGGGCCGGGACAUCCACGAAACCCUAAAACAGUUUAAAUAAUGAAGGAAUAUACCAUGAGAUCCGAUAGUUAAACUUUACAGAAUCGAAAUAUAUGAAAACAUGAAUAGUUAACCAAAGGACGAAAUCAAACAUUUGGUUAGAACCUAGUUACAAAUCCCCAGCAGAGUCGUCAUUUCUGUUUUGCGAAAAUUUUAACUUUUGAAAGAGAGUCACCACUUAAUUUUGAAAAAGAAAUUAAGAAACCUUUGUAAUGUACUUAGACGAUUCAAAAUAGAAAAAUCAUUUAAGUUAAGAGAUUCUAGAUAAGCGGUUCCUAUUAACGUUUUAGGAAGGUGUUAGGCACCUAAAACGUCCGCUAACUUGCAGUUAUCUGGACUGUUUGGAAAUCGUCUUGACUAACUUUGGAAAAUCGAUUUAUUGGAGAAAAGAUUGGUUAGGGAAAAGUUUUUUCAAAAUCAAUUUUUAGCGACUUAGUUAGGGAUUUAACUAGGUUCGCAAGAAGCAUGUAAAAACAAGUACGAAAAAGGAAAAGGGAAAAGGGAAAAGGGGAGAAGUAGUGAAUUAGGCUUUUAAGCCCAAACCGUCAACCUGUCCUAGUCUAGAUGUUGGGCUUUUGGCCCGUCUUCCACUUGUCCUAAUUCUAUGUUUUCGAGCCCUUUUUGGCUCGAGUUUUCACUUCGCCUGUAUUAGAUACAACUUUGGCUUCAAGGCCCAAAUGAAUGACUAAAUUAAUAAACACAUAAAUAAAUAACUGAAAAUAAAUAAAGCAACAAUAAAUAAAUAAAGCAAAAUAAGACUCUUCGACUCUCUUAGUUACUUCAAUAAGGGUGCCUUUGGAUCCAUUUUUUCUUCUUCCAUCUUCUUGCCUUGGUAUGCCUCAUGAUCGACUUUUAGACUUGGUCUCGGAGUUGACUCGAUAGAGAUGAUGGGCCUCAAGAUCCCAUGAUGAAUAUGCAAAAGGGAAAGAGUCCAUGUAGGACUCAAAUGAUUCUUCGAAAAGGACAUAUUAGGAAUUAAUACAUGUUCACAAAAAUGAAUUAUUCGGACAACAAAGAAACAUGAAUCAAACUCAUAUAUAAGAAACAAAUAUGGAGGCCACAAGGACCGGUAAUGAAAGUUUAGACAAAAACCACAACAUACCCCGUAUAUUGCCACCAAGUGGGGUCUGGGGAGGUUAAGAGUAAACAAUCCAUGCCACUACCUCACAUGUGAGAUAGAGAGGUUGUUUCCGAUUAACCCCCGACUCAAACUAGAAAAGGGAAAUUGAUCUUUAAAAUAAUCUGCACAACUGAAUGUUGAUAGAUCUUUCAAGGAUAGUCCACUAAAUGGCUCAAGGUGAAUUAUAAGUAUAGAUAACAAAAAAAAUUCCUUAAUAGGCAUAGAGAAGGAUGAAUACUACUGUUUUAGAACCCAAAUUCCAACUGAUACAUAUACUAACAUGGUACUAAACAGGAUUCUCUUUGAAUGGUCCUUUUAUUUGAGUCGUAAAAUUUCUAACACAAAAGUUCUACUUGAGGUUAAAUGCACCAACAUAAGAGAGUUAUACAAAGCCGCAGUUGAACCUAGAUCUUCCAUAGAAAUGAGUCACAGAACAAGAAAACUAAAGACAAUGAUAGCAGCAAUCUGGAAUUCAAAGCCUCUAGUCUAUAAAGAUAUCCUAAGUCUAGUUUUAACAUGGCUAGUUAGUCAAUUAGAUUAUAAUCACAGAAGAACUUGAAAUUUUCGCAUAUCUAACAAUUGAACAGCACUCAACGAAUCCAAGGUGGCACACAUCAGUGCAUAAAAAAUAAACUGAGAUAUAGUUUCAUGGACAGGUCUAGAAAAAGUCUAAUACUUUAAGGCUUCAACAUAUAAUAUCGAAGUCACGGUAUAUCAAAAACCAAAUUCACUUGUCAAAUCAAAUAGCUAGAUAAUGAAAGACGGAUAACAACUAAGUUAGGAAACAACUUCCAACGGGUGAAAUUCAAAUUGUUUGAUGACCUCAAGCCAACAUGGACUAAACAUAAAGAUGAACUCGAAACAUCAACAGAUUCAACAUAAAAAAAACUAUGGCUUGCCAACGCCAAUCUACAGCAAACAUCCCAGCCUCAAAACAUUAACCAAAGCUACUACUGCUACAAUCAUUACGACACAACAGUAAAUGGAAGAAUCGAGUACUGACCGGUUUUUGGGUAGCAAAACGGGAUAACGAGCUUACGUCGAGAUGCACCUCCAUCGGAAAUUAGCAUUACCAACUCAGGGACCUCCUCCGAUUGACCGACCAACUUUCAGAAAGAAAAAGGAAAAAGAAAGUUUUCAAUAAGGGAACUAUUUUGAUCUCAAAAUUUUAUUUCCCUUCUUUUUGAAUCCAAAAAUUUCAAACUCCAGAAUUUUCAACCCUAAUUUUCAACUCCCGAAUUUCCCCUAAGUUUUUCAACCCAAGACUUUCGAACCCAGAAGGGAAAGAAAUGAAAAUCCCCUUUUCCUGCUCUAAAGAGAGCUACUUAUAGAAGAGGAUUGAGGGUUCAUUUUUGAAAUUCAAAAAAUCAGGACCAUAACAAACUGUACCUCUAUUUUCAUUUUCUUGAACAAAAUUCCUGAAAGUGGACAAUAGAAAUUGGUGGAAAGGGAAUAAUCUUUACAAGCCAAUGAAAAUUUUCCAUCUAUGUACCAAUUCAUACUAUGUUACCUGAGAUUCACGGGAUUUGAACGUUAGGGUGAGCCAGCUUACCCAUUUCUAGAAGUUUUUCUUGAAUUUCCAUAACCAACACAUGUCACUAGGCGGGUCGAAGUCGGGUCGACUUUGGAAAGCUGGUUUUCCCCAAUUUUUGGGUUGAGGAUGACGGGUCGGGUCGAUUUGGAUGGAUUUUGGCUGGAACAUGGUCAUUGAAGUUGGUGGUUUUGAGUUAUUAGGAUGGUUGAGAAUUUUUCUUGUUUAUGUGCAGCUUUGCUGCUUUGGUGGAGAAAGGGGGGAGAAAUAAAG